CCUACGGGAGGCAGCAGUGGGGAAUAUUGGACAAUGGGCGAAAGCCUGAUCCAGCAAUGCCGCGUGAGUGAUGAAGGCCUUCGGGUCGUAAAGCUCUUUUACCAGGGAUGAUAAUGACAGUACCUGGAGAAUAAGCUCCGGCUAACUCCGUGCCAGCAGCCGCGGUAAUACGGAGGGAGCUAGCGUUGUUCGGAAUUACUGGGCGUAAAGAGUACGUAGGCGGUUAUUCAAGUCAGAGGUGAAAGCCCGGGGCUCAACCCCGGAACUGCCUUUGAAACUAGAUAACUAGAGUCUUGGAGAGGUUAGUGGAAUUCCGAGUGUAGAGGUGAAAUUCGUAGAUAUUCGGAAGAACACCAGUGGCGAAGGCGACUAACUGGACAAGUACUGACGCUGAGGUACGAAAGCGUGGGGAGCAAACAGGAUUAGAUACCCUGGUAGUCCACGCCGUAAACGAUGAUAACUAGUUGUUCGGUCACUUGGUGACUGAGUGACGCAGCUAACGCAUUAAGUUAUCCGCCUGGGGAUACGGUCGCAAGNUUAAAACUCAAAUGAUGAGNGUGUAGAGUUGCGAGACGACACGAGGAGAGG
rnacentral:rRNA from 1 species